AUGAAACAAUCAAAAAUUAUAGAUACGUUGAAGACGUAUUACUCUUCCAGCUCAUCCUGCCCCGGCUCGACGCGAGGCGGGGGCGGGAGCUGGUUCUCUUUGCCGGAGAAGUCGGCGACGGGGUCGGGGCUGCUGUUCGCCGGGGGCGGAGGAGGGGGGAGGGGUGGGGAGGGCGCGCGACUCAGAGGCAGAGGCGGGGUGACGCGGAUCGCAGCCUCACGCCCGUGGCAGCCCGAGCUGCGAUGCCGGCUGGUGGGGGUACGGCUGCGCUGUCGCUUCUGUUGGGGGCGGUCCUUGGCCGCCGUCGGUGCCUUGCUUGAGUGGCUCCGCCCGAGGAGCGUAUCCGCCCAGGAGCGCCUGGCCCCGCGGUUUCCGUCUUGGUCAUCAUGGUCCCUGCGGCCGCCACCGCGUUGCAAUCCGUGGCAGCCGGAGGAGGCCACCGCAAGGGGCUGGCGGCGACCCUGCCCGUCCUCAACAUGCCUGGUCCACGUCCCCGGGUAG
rnacentral:rRNA from 1 species